ACUGGGUGGCUCAGUUGGUUGAGUGUCUGACUUUGGCUCAGGUCAUGAUUCCACGGCUUGUGGGUUUAAACCCCACAUUUGGUU
rnacentral:tRNA from 1 species